CGAAAGCCUGACGGAGCAAUACCGCGUGAGGGAGGAAGGCUCUUGGGUUGUAAACCUCUUUUCUCAGGGAAGAAGAUCUGACGGUACCUGAGGAAUAAGCAUCGGCUAACUCCGUGCCAGCAGCCGCGGUAAUACGGAGAAUGCAAGCGUUAUCCGGAAUUAUUGGGCGUAAAGCGUCCGCAGGUGGUUUUUCAAGUCCGCUGUUAAAGACUGGAGCUCAACUCCGGAAAGGCAGUGGAAACUGGAAGACUAGAGUUCGGUAGGGGUAGCGGGAAUUCCCAGUGUAGCGGUGAAAUGCGUAGAGAUUGGGAAGAACAUCGGUGGCGAAAGCGCGCUACUGGACCGAGACUGACACUCAGGGACGAAAGCUAGGGGAGCGAAAGGGAUUAGAUACCCCUGUAGUCCUAGCUGUAAACGAUG
rnacentral:rRNA from 1 species